rnacentral:rRNA from 1 species
UACGGAGGGGACUAGCGUUGUUCGGAAUUACGUGGCGUAAAGCGCACGUAGGCGGAUUUGUAAGUCAGGGGUGAAAUCCCGGGGCUCAACCUCGGAACUGCCUUUGAUACUGCAAAUCUCGAGUCCGGAAGAGGUGAGUGGAAUUCCUAGUGUAGAGGUGAAAUUCGUAGAUAUUAGGAAGAACACCAGUGGCGAAGGCGGCUCACUGGUCCGGUACUGACGCUGAGGUGCGAAAGCGUGGGGAGCAAACAGG